rnacentral:rRNA from 1 species
AUUGAACGCUGGCGGCAGGCUUAACACAUGCAAGUCGAGCGGGGGAAGGUAGCUUGCUACUGGACCUAGCGGCGGACGGGUGAGUAAUGCUUAGGAAUCUGCCUAUUAGUGGGGGACAACAUCUCGAAAGGGAUGCUAAUACCGCAUACGUCCUACGGGAGAAAGCAGGGGAUCUUCGGACCUUGCGCUAAUAGAUGAGCCUAAGUCGGAUUAGCUAGUUGGUGGGGUAAAGGCCUACCAAGGCGACGAUCUGUAGCGGGUCUGAGAGGAUGAUCCGACACACUGGGACUGAGACACGGCCCAGACGCCUACGGGAGGCAGCAGUGGGGAAUAUUGGACAAUGGGGGGAACCCUGAUCCAGCCAUGCCGCGUGUGUGAAGAAGGCCUUAUGGUUGUAAAGCACUUUAAGCGAGGAGGAGGCUACUUUAGUUAAUACCUAGAGAUAGUGGACGUUACUCGCAGAAUAAGCACCGGCUAACUCUGUGCCAGCCGCCGCUGUAA